rnacentral:rRNA from 1 species
GAUGAACGCUGGCGGCGUGCCUAAUACAUGCAAGUCGAGCGAACGGACGAGAAGCUUGCUUCUCUGAUGUUAGCGGCGGACGGGUGAGUAACACGUGGAUAACCUACCUAUAAGACUGGGAUAACUUCGGGAAACCGGAGCUAAUACCGGAUAAUAUUUUGAACCGCAUGGUUCAAAAGUGAAAGACGGUCUUGCUGUCACUUAUAGAUGGAUCCGCGCUGCAUUAGCUAGUUGGUAAGGUAACGGCUUACCAAGGCAACGAUGCAUAGCCGACCUGAGAGGAUGAUCGGCCACACUGGAACUGAGACACGGUCCAGACUCCUACGGGAGGCAGCAGUAGGGAAUCUUCCGCAAUGGGCGAAAGCCUGACGGAGCAACGCCGCGUGAGUGACGAAGGUCUUCGGAUCGUAAAACUCUUUUAGUAGGGAAGAACAGAUGUGUAAGUAUCUGUGCACAUCUUGACGUUACCUAAUCAGAAAGCCACGGCUAACUACGUG